rnacentral:rRNA from 1 species
UACGUAGGGUGCAAGCGUUGUCCGGAAUUAUUGGGCGUAAAGAGCUCGUAGGCGGUCUGUCGCGUCGGCUGUGAAAACCCGGGGCUCAACCCCGGGCCUGCAGUCGAUACGGGCAGACUAGAGUGCGGUAGGGGAGACUGGAAUUCCUGGUGUAGCGGUGAAAUGCGCAGAUAUCAGGAGGAACACCGGUGGCGAAGGCGGCCUGCUGGGCAGUAGCUGGACACUGAGGCGCGACAGCGUGGGGAGCAAACAGG